rnacentral:misc_RNA from 1 species
GUUGCUACCGAUUGGCUGUGGGAUAGAGCUGGGGGGAGGGCGUCUCUUAGGGGUGACCUUUUGAGAUGCUGCGAAUCCCAGCAAUAUUUCUCUGCUAGAGGAAGCAAAAGUCGUAACAAGGUUGCUGUAGGUGAACCUGCAGAAGGAUCAAGAUCGGAAUAGCUUCGUUUAGGGUACGUGCUUACAUCUCGGUGUUCUCCGUAUCCUUUCAAUAACUUCUCUUCUCCUCCCCUCUCCUCCUCUCUCUCCUUCCUCUUCUUAUUUCACCUUCAUUCCC